ACGAACUCUUCGGAGUUAGUGGCGGACGGGUGAGUAACACGUGGGAACGUGCCUUUAGGUUCGGAAUAACUCAGGGAAACUUGUGCUAAUACCGAAUGUGCCCUUCGGGGGAAAGAUUUAUCGCCUUUAGAGCGGCCCGCGUCUGAUUAGCUAGUUGGUGAGGUAAAGGCUCACCAAGGCGACGAUCAGUAGCUGGUCUGAGAGGAUGAUCAGCCACAUUGGGACUGAGACACGGCCCAAACUCCUACGGGAGGCAGCAGUGGGGAAUCUUGCGCAAUGGGCGAAAGCCUGACGCAGCCAUGCCGCGUGAAUGAUGAAGGUCUUAGGAUUGUAAAAUUCUUUCACCGGGGACGAUAAUGACGGUACCCGGAGAAGAAGCCCCGGCUAACUUCGUGCCAGCAGCCGCGGUAAUACGAAGGGGGCUAGCGUUGCUCGGAAUUACUGGGCGUAAAGGGAGCGUAGGCGGACAUUUAAGUCAGGGGUGAAAUCCCGGGGCUCAACCUCGGAAUUGCCUUUGAUACUGGGUGUCUUGAGUAUGAGAGAGGUGUGUGGAACUCCGAGUGUAGAGGUGAAAUUCGUAGAUAUUCGGAAGAACACCAGUGGCGAAGGCGACACACUGGCUCAUUACUGACGCUGAGGCUCGAAAGCGUGGGGAGCAAACAGGAUUAGAUACCCUGGUAGUCCACGCCGUAAACGAUGAUUGCUAGUUGUCGG
rnacentral:rRNA from 1 species